GCAAUUCAUAUAUUUCUCUCUCAAAUCUUGCAGUCUGGAAUAUUAUUUGUCAUCAUGAAAGUUGUUCUGCUUUUUUCGUCUCUUCUACAUAGAUAAAAGGGUCUACGAAAGACAACCUCACUUUCUCAAUCAGAGAACUUUGAGAAUUAUGAAGUUUCCUUCAAAUUAUGUCCAUCACUCAACCUCGAGUACUGACACCUCAAAGCUAUCGGAAAGUCAAGAAAGUAUUUCCUGUUAGGGAUGAAGUCAAGGUCUUUGGCACCUCACUUCGUUUCUUCGUCUACACAUCAGUGAUUGCCCUAAUCUCUAAUCACUUUCCGAAUCAGCACUGCCCUCCUCCCUCUGAGUUGACCAUCGAUGAUUGCCCAUAAGCUCCGAUCCCUUUUAGUAAAAGAGAUGCCCUCUCCCCUCUCUGCACUAUGCUAGAGGUUUAACAAUUUAGAAGCCUUCAAUUCUUUAUUAAUCAAGAUGAACUGGCAGCUUGGCUCCCUUCACAGUGUUUUGUUCUUAAAAGAAUUGUGUGUGAGCCAUGGUUGACGUAAUGAAUUUGAAACUUCUUCACUAGGUCCUAAGUUUAGGAAUCACUUUUUGUAGUCUGAUAAAACCAUGAUAUUUCAUUACUUGUCUAGAGGAAUCAUUCAUGUGCAGCACUAUAUAUAU